AUUGAUAGCGUGCGCAGGGGCGUGAUCAGCGCAAGAGGGAGGAAAAGGUGUGGAAAGCAAGUGGCGCAUUUUAGAGACGCACUAUAGUCGGACCCGGAGGAGGAGAUCUCUUGUAUUGUAGGUGGCGAGUUGAUCGGGCAUGUCUCUUCUGGUAAAGAAGAAAAGUUUUACCCAAAUUUGCAACAAACAAUUCACAAAAUCUUCUCUCUAAUCUUCAUGGCUGUUCGUUUCUGAGUUCUCUCAUCUCUGUUAUCGUUCCUGAUCUGACAGGAGUUUGCAGUUUAUUUCUUUAUCUAUUCUUGAUAAUUCAAUGGCUGCUCCACCUGCAAGGGCUAGAGCCGACUACGAUUACCUCAUAAAGCUUUUAUUGAUCGGUGACAGCGGUGUGGGUAAGAGUUGCCUUCUUUUGCGUUUCUCAGAUGGAUCUUUCACCACUAGUUUUAUCACUACCAUCGGCAUCGAUUUCAAAAUAAGAACAAUUGAGCUUGAUGGCAAACGAAUCAAGCUUCAAAUCUGGGAUACAGCUGGUCAGGAGCGAUUCCGAACAAUCACGACUGCUUACUAUCGUGGAGCCAUGGGCAUUUUGCUGGUUUAUGAUGUCACUGAUGAGUCAUCUUUUAAUAAUAUCAGGAACUGGAUUCGCAACAUUGAACAGCAUGCUUCUGAUAAUGUCAACAAGAUUUUGGUUGGGAACAAGGCUGACAUGGAUGAAAGCAAGAGGGCUGUUCCUACCUCCAAAGGCCAAGCACUAGCUGAUGAGUACGGGAUCAAAUUCUUUGAAACUAGUGCAAAGACGAAUCUCAACGUGGAACAGGUUUUCUUUUCAAUUGCAAGGGAUAUAAAGCAAAGACUUGCUGACACUGAUUCUCGUGCUGAGCCUACUAGUAUCAAGAUCAAUCAACCAAACCAGGCAGCUGGGGCAGGCCAAGCAGCACAAAAAUCAGCUUGUUGUGGUUCUUAGAGAACAACCAAUUAUUGGCUACAAACCAAAGCUGAAACGAAAAAAAAAUGGCAAGUAAUAGAAAUGACGAUCUAGUGAGAGCUAAUAGUUGAUGGAAGGCUAAUAUUUGUUGAAGUUGCAAAGAAUACAAGAACCGGGGAAGAUUAAGGUUUGAAUGGCGUCGAUGCUCAGCUAUGGUCAUUGGUACUCUAAUUUUCUGAAUCGAAAUUCAAUGAUAUUGUAUAUGCAGACGUGGAUGAAUUCAGUAACUUGCUAGCACUAGAUGUGCCAUUUGCAAAACGUUCUGGAUGAAUUCUGUAACAUUCGCACCCCAAUUUGCUGGGUCCUGAUGCAGUACGACAACUGGAACCCA